GCCUUGCUCUAUCACAACCUCAUUUGCUGGGUUCACAAUGGUUUCAUUUGGAUGCUGGAUUUUAAGGAUGUUUGCAUUGACAUGUUGCUUUCUUCCUCAACCUCACAGGCAGAAACGGGUAAGGUUCCCAAAGGGUAAGAAGGUAAAGCAGGGCGAUAACACGGUUGAUGGGCGUGAAGAUAAACCUAGUGGGUGGAGAGAUCCUCGCCUUGCAGCCAAAGAGCGUUCGGUACGGCGGAAUCAAAUAACAGCGGAGCUCCUUGAUGAAGAAAAUGAAGGUGAAGUAGCUGACAUAUCGCGGGCAGAAGUGGAAUAUGAGGAAAAUGAAACAUUCAUUGAUGAUGGGAUUGCAAUAGAGCCUUUUAAUCUGGAUAAAGAGAGAGAAGAAGGUUAUUUUGAUGCAUCAGGAAACUAUGUUGAAUAUUUAAAUGAAAAUGAGAUAAAGGAUGCAUGGCUUGACAGUGUUGAUACUGAGAAAAGAUUUUCUGGGAAGAAUGCUAUGAAGAUAUCAAAUGAAGAUGAGAUUCAAGACCUUACAUCAGGAGAACUAGGAAAGAUGAAGAGGCGAAUUGCUGAUGUGCUCGAGCCAGGAAAAACAGUUUUGCGAGGUUUAAGGAGAUUGAAAGGUACCUCAAAUGAUAAAAAGGGAAAAAUGUCUGCAGAAACUAAGCAGCUGUUUGAUCAGCUAACAGAAGAUGCUAUGAAGCUGAUGGAGAAUGGAGAUUACAAUGUGUAUGAUGAAAAGCAAGAGAGUUUCCAACGAGAAGCAGAGGGGUAUGAGAAGUUAGCUCAGGCAAGACAGGGUAAAUCCAUUGAAUCAAUGCAGCCUAAGCCCGAUAAUAUCCUCGAUGAAGAUUUCCUUCCCAGUGGGUCAACUGGACAUUCUAUGCAUAAUGCAGAUGUGGCUCCAUCAAAUUCAUAUAACACAGCUACCAAGAGCGAUGAUGCAUUUGACAUGUUCGGUGAAGACGACGAAAACAUUCCAGCUAAUCCUGCCUCUAAUGGAGGUAAUUUGAUCCCUAAACACAUUUAGAAUUGACCUUAUUGACAAUUCUGAAUAUCUAAAUACAAUACAAUAAACUUUAAUCAUCCAUCGUUCAUAUCUAAAUACAAUUCAAUCAUCCACAUGUGCAUUAGCAUUCAGACGUCCUCAUAACCAACAUUAUUAGUCAGUCUCUAUUCGGGUUAUUACUAAUUUACCAACUGCCAUGGAAGAAGGUUCAUCGCGACGUUCCAAACGCCCUUUCUUUGAGGAUGAUGACUCCAAUAAACCUCCUUCGCAGAGACGAGUAAGGUUCCCAAAGGGUAAGAAGGUAAAGCAGGGUGAUAACACGGUUGAUGGGCGUGAAGAUAAGCCUAGCGGGUGGAGAUAUCCUCGCCUUGCAGCGAAAGAGCGCUCGGUACGGCCGAAUCAAAUAACAGCGGAGCUCCUUGAUGAAGAAAAUGAAGGUGAAGUAGCUGACAUAUCGCGGGCAGAAGUGGAAUAUGAGG